GGCGCUGUGGCUGAGCGGUCAAGCGCUUGGCUUCCGAACCGGAGACCGGGGUUCGAAUCUUCGGGCGCCU
rnacentral:tRNA from 1 species